ensembl:misc_RNA Metazoa_SRP Metazoan signal recognition particle RNA
GCCAGAUGUGGUGGCAUGCAUCUGUAGUCCCAGCUACCUGGGAGGCUGAGGUAGGAGGAUCACUUGAGCCUGGGAGGUUGAGGCUGCAGUGAGCAGAGAUCAUGUCACUGCACUCUAGCCUGGGCAACAGAGGGAUACCCUGUCUCAA